rnacentral:rRNA from 1 species
CUACGGGGGGCUGCAGUGGGGAAUAUUGGACAAUGGGCGAAAGCCUGAUCCAGCCAUGCCGCGUGAGUGAAGAAGGCCUUCGGGUUGUAAAGCUCUUUCGGCGGGGACGAUGAUGACGGUACCCGCAUAAGAAGCCCCGGCAAACUUCGUGCCAGCAGCGGCGGUAAUACGAAGGGGGCUGGCGUUGUUCGGAAUUACUGGGCGUAAAGAGAACGUAGGCGGUGUUCCAUGUCAGAGGUGAAAGCCUGGGGCUCAACUCCAGAAUUGCCUUUGAAACGGGGACGCUUGAGUCCGAGAGAGGGUGGCGGAAUUCCUAGUGUAGAGGUGAAAUUCGUAGAUAUUAGGAAGAACACCAGUGGCGAAGGCGGCCACCUGGCUCGGUACUGACGCUCAGGUUCGAAAGCGUGGGGAGCAAACAGGAUUAGAUACCCCCGUAGUC